rnacentral:rRNA from 1 species
UACGUAGGGUGCAAGUGUUAAUCGGAAUUACUGGGCGUAAAGCGUGCGCAGGCGGUUUUGUAAGACUGUCGUGAAAUCCCCGGGCUUAACCUGGGAAUGGCGAUGGUGACUGCAAGGCUAGAGUUUGGCAGAGGGGGGUAGAAUUCCACGUGUAGCAGUGAAAUGCGUAGAUAUGCGGAGGAACACCGAUGGCGAAGGCAAUCCCCUGGGCCUGCACUGACGCUCAUGCACGAAAGCGUGGGGAGCAAACAGG